rnacentral:rRNA from 1 species
AACGAACGCUGGCGGCAGGCCUAACACAUGCAAGUCGAACGCCGUAGCAAUACGGAGUGGCAGACGGGUGAGUAACACGUGGGAACGUACCCUUCGGUUCGGAAUAACUCAGGGAAACUUGAGCUAAUACCGGAUACGUCCGAGAGGAGAAAGAUUUAUCGCCGAGGGAUCGGCCCGCGUCUGAUUAGCUUGUUGGUGAGGUAACGGCUCACCAAGGCGACGAUCAGUAGCUGGUCGAGAGGAUGAUCAGCCACAUUGGGACUGAGACACGGCCCAAACUCCUACGGGAGGCAGCAGUGGGGAAUAUUGGACAAUGGGCGCAAGCCUGAUCCAGCCAUGCCGCGUGAGUGAUGAAGGCCUAGGGUUGUAAAGCUCUUUUACCGGGAAGAUAAUGACUGUACCGGGAGAAUAACGCCCCGGCUAACUUCGUGCCAGCAGCCGCGGUAA